rnacentral:rRNA from 1 species
UACGUAGGGGGCAAGCAUUGUCCGGAUUUACUGGGCGUAAAGGGCUCGUAGGCGGCCAACUAAGUCCGACGUGAAAUCCCCAGGCUCAACCUGGGAACUGCGUCGGAUACUGGAUGGCUUGAAUUCGGGAGAGGGAUGCAGAAUUCCAGGUGUAGCGGUGAAAUGCGUAGAUAUCUGGAGGAAUACCGGUGGCGAAGGCGGCAUCCUGGACCGACAUUGACGCUGAGGAGCGAAAGCGUGGGGAGCAAACAGG